GACGAACGCUGGCGGCGUGCUUAACACAUGCAAGUCGAACGGAAAGGCCCUGCUUUUGUGGGGUGCUCGAGUGGCGAACGGGUGAGUAACACGUGAGUAACCUGCCCUUGACUUUGGGAUAACUUGAGGAAACUGGGGCUAAUACCGGAUAGGAGCUCCUGCUGCAUGGUGGGGGUUGGAAAGUUUCGGCGGUUGGGGAUGGACUCGCGGCUUAUCAGCUUGUUGGUUGGGUAGUGGCUUACCAAGGCUUUGACGGGUAGCCGGCCUGAGAGGGUGACCGGCCACAUUGGGACUGCGAUACGCCGCAGACUCCUACGGGAGGCAGCAGUGGGGAAUAUUGCCCAAUGGGCGGAAGCCUGAUGCAGCAACGCCGCGAGCGGGAUGAAGGCCUUCGGGUUGUAAACCGCUUUAGCCUGUGACGAAGCGUGAGUGACGGUAAUGGGUAAAGAAGCACCGGCUAACUACGUG
rnacentral:rRNA from 1 species